CCUACGGGCGGCAGCAGUGAGGAAUAUUGGUCAAUGGACGAGAGUCUGAACCAGCCAAGUAGCGUGAAGGAUGACUGCCCUAUGGGUUGUAAACUUCUUUUAUAUGGGAAUAAAAUGUUCCACGUGUGGGAUUUUGUAUGUACCAUAUGAAUAAGGCUCGGCUAACUCCGUGCCAGCAGCCGCGGUAAUACGGAGGGUCCGAGCGUUAUCCGGAAUUAUUGGGUUUAAAGGGUGCGUAGGUGGAUUGUUAAGUCAGUUGUGAAAGCUUGCGGCUCAACCGUAGAAGUGCAGUUGAAACUGGUAGUCUUGAGUAUAGGAGAGGUAGGUGGAAUUCGUGGUGUAGCGGUGAAAUGCGUAGAUAUCACGAAGAACUCUGAUUGCGAAGGCAACUCACUGGACUGCAACUGACGCUGAGGCUCGAAAGUGUGGGUAUCAAACAGGAUUAGAUACCCUAGUAGUC
rnacentral:rRNA from 1 species